rnacentral:misc_RNA from 1 species
GGUGAACCUGCGGAUGGAUCAU